UGGAGGUAUCAGAAGUGCGAAUGCUGACAUAAGUAACGAUAAAGCGGGUGAAAAGCCCGCUCGCCGGAAGACCAAGGGUUCCUGUCCAACGUUAAUCGGGGCAGGGUGAGUCGACCCCUAAGGCGAGGCCGAAAGGCGUAGUCGAUGGGAAACAGGUUAAUAUUCCUGUACUUGGUGUUACUGCGAAGGGGGGACGGAGAAGGCUAUGUUGGCCGGGCGACGGUUGUCCCGGUUUAAGCGUGUAGGCUGGUUUUCCAGGCAAAUCCGGAAAAUCAAGGCUGAGGCGUGAUGACGAGGCACUACGGUGCUGAAGCAACAAAUGCCCUGCUUCCAGGAAAAGCCUCUAAGCAUCAGGUAACAUUAAAUCGUACCCCAAACCGACACAGGUGGUCAGGUAGAGAAUACCAAGGCGCUUGAGAGAACUCGGGUGAAGGAACUAGGCAAAAUGGUGCCGUAACUUCGGGAGAAGGCACGCUGAUAUGUAGGUGAAGUCCCUCGCGGAUGGAGCUGAAAUCAGUCGAAGAUACCAGCUGGCUGCAACUGUUUAUUAAAAACACAGCACUGUGCAAACACGAAAGUGGACGUAUACGGUGUGACGCCUGCCCGGUGCCGGAAGGUUAAUUGAUGGGGUUAGCGGUAACGCGAAGCUCUUGAUCGAAGCCCCGGUAAACGGCGGCCGUAACUAUAACGGUCCUAAGGUAGCGAAAUUCCUUGUCGGGUAAGUUCCGACCUGCACGAAUGGCGUAAUGAUGGCCAGGCUGUCUCCACCCGAGACUCAGUGAAAUUGAACUCGCUGUGAAGAUGCAGUGUACCCGCGGCAAGACGGAAAGACCCCGUGAACCUUUACUAUAGCUUGACACUGAACAUUGAGCCUUGAUGUGUAGGAUAGGUGGGAGGCUUUGAAGUGUGGACGCCAGUCUGCAUGGAGCCGACCUUGAAAUACCACCCUUUAAUGUUUGAUGUUCUAACGUUGACCCGUAAUCCGGGUUGCGGACAGUGUCUGGUGGGUAGUUUGACUGGGGCGGUCUCCUCCUAAAGAGUAACGGAGGAGCACGAAGGUUGGCUAAUCCUGGUCGGACAUCAGGAGGUUAGUGCAAUGGCAUAAGCCAGCUUGACUGCGAGCGUGACGGCGCGAGCAGGUGCGAAAGCAGGUCAUAGUGAUCCGGUGGUUCUGAAUGGAAGGGCCAUCGCUCAACGGAUAAAAGGUACUCCGGGGAUAACAGGCUGAUACCGCCCAAGAGUUCAUAUCGACGGCGGUGUUUGGCACCUCGAUGUCGGCUCAUCACAUCCUGGGGCUGAAGUAGGUCCCAAGGGUAUGGCUGUUCGCCAUUUAAAGUGGUACGCGAGCUGGGUUUAGAACGUCGUGAGACAGUUCGGUCCCUAUCUGCCGUGGGCGCUGGAGAACUGAGGGGGGCUGCUCCUAGUACGAGAGGACCGGAGUGGACGCAUCACUGGUGUUCGGGUUGUCAUGCCAAUGGCACUGCCCGGUAGCUAAAUGCGGAAGAGAUAAGUGCUGAAAGCAUCUAAGCACGAAACUUGCC
rnacentral:rRNA from 1 species